GAUGAACGCUAGCGGCAGGCCUAACACAUGCAAGUCGAGGGGCAGCACGAAUGAGCUUGCUUAUUUGGUGGCGACCGGCGCACGGGUGCGUAACGCGUAUGCAACCUACCUUAUACUGGGGUAUAGCCCGGAGAAAUUCGGAUUAAUCCCCCAUAGUAUUAUCGAUUCGCAUGUUUUGAUAAUUAAAGGUUACGGUAUAAGAUGGGCAUGCGUCCUAUUAGCUAGAUGGUGAGGUAACGGCUCACCAUGGCGACGAUAGGUAGGGGGCCUGAGAGGGUGGUCCCCCACACUGGUACUGAGACACGGACCAGACUCCUACGGGAGGCAGCAGUGAGGAAUAUUGGUCAAUGGGCGCAAGCCUGAACCAGCCAUGCCGCGUGCAGGAAGACGGUCCUAUGGAUUGUAAACUGCUUUUAUUCGGGAAUAAACCUCCUUACGUGUAGGGAGCUGAAGGUACCGAAUGAAUAAGCACCGGCUAACUCCGUGCCAGCAGCCGCCGUAAGAC
rnacentral:rRNA from 1 species